ensembl:ncRNA T01B4.6 ncRNA
AAAAAAGACAGGUGAUCUCGGGCGGGAUCGAACCGCCGACCUUCUGUGUGUUAGACAGAUGUGAUAACCACUACACCACGAGACCGCUGGG